rnacentral:lncRNA from 1 species
GGAUUGUACUCAGCCUGAAUAUUAGCUUAUAUCUGUGAGCAGUCUCACGGAAUAUAUUGGCUAGCUUCAUCUGGCUUAAUGUUGAAGUGUUAAUGAGUAGCACUUGCAGUACUUUGUUUGAAGGUGAUCAAGGCAAGUCAUUGCAAUCGCUGUUGUUGGGUUAUAAGACUUGUCAAUCUGAGAUAUAAAGUUGACUUAUUGGAUCUGGUGCAUUUCAGGAAUUUAUUUCGUUGAUGUUAUUCUUAGGGAAGUUCUUCCCAUGAGGUAGCUGGAGCUAUAAAAUAUCUUGUGGUUCACAAGCAAAAUGCUAUAUAAUUGGAAGAAGCCUCACAUUAUUUUCUCUACAGUGCUCGUGGUUGUUUAUGUUGCAAUAUAACUAGCAAUUAUGGAACAACUAUCAGAGAAAAAGUUCCCUGUCAAUGCGAAAGACUAUAAGUUGUAUGAAGAAGUUGGAGACGGGGUUAGUGCAACUGUGUAUCGGGCUCUGUGCAUUGAGAUUGUUUAUGUUGCAAUAUAACUAGCAAUUAUGGAACAACUAUCAGAGAAAAAGUUCCCUGUCAAUGCGAAAGAUUAUAAGUUAUAUGAAGAAGUUGGAGACGGUGUUAGUGCAACUGUGUAUCGGGCUCU